rnacentral:piRNA from 1 species
AAAAUACCCCUUGCCCUAGGAAUAAAG